rnacentral:lncRNA from 1 species
UGUACAUCCUACAACUACCAAAUCCAACAGCUGAGAAUAAUAAAAUUUUUUUAUUAAAAAAGUGUUGAUAACUACACUCUCUCUUUUUUUUUCUUCACUUUGCCACUUUUCCUCCGGCCUUUCCCUCCGCUCACUCCUCUUUUUCUCCAUCUUCACUUUCUCUCUUCCUUCAUUCUUCACCGAUUCUUCAGUGAACUCGUGUCCUGCGGCCAUCCGCUUGUUUUCUUCCUCCAUUUUUGGCUGGAGUUCUCAGCCCUCAUCUACGG